UACUCUUAGUGGUGGAUCACGCAGCUCGUGUGUUGCUGAAGGACACAGCAAGCUGUGAGAACUAAUGUGAAUUGCAGGACACAGAUCAUCGAUACUUCGAACACACAUUGCGGCCCUGGGUCUAUCCCGGGGCUACGCCUGUCUGAGGAAUG
ensembl:rRNA 5_8S_rRNA 5.8S ribosomal RNA